UACGUAGGGUGCGAGCGUUGUCCGGAAUUAUUGGGCGUAAAGAGCUCGUAGGCGGUCUGUCGCGUCGGUCGUGAAAACUUGGGGCUUAACCCUGAGCUUGCGGUCGAUACGGGCAUGACUGGAGUUCGGUAGGGGAGACUGGAAUUCCUGGUGUAGCGGUGAAAUGCGCAGAUAUCAGGAGGAACACCGGUGGCGAAGGCGCCACUCUGGGCCGAAACUGACGCUGAGGAGCGAAAGCGUGGGUAGCAAACAGG
rnacentral:rRNA from 1 species